GCCUGAUGGUUCUGUCUCUGGCUCUUUCAG
rnacentral:piRNA from 1 species